rnacentral:tRNA from 1 species
GGAGGCUUCGCCUAGUCCGGUCUAUGGCGCCGCACUGCUAAUGCGGUUAGGGGUUUAUAGCUCCUUCCCGGGUUCGAAUCCCGGAGCCUCCG